rnacentral:rRNA from 1 species
CCUACGGGGGGCAGCAGUAGGGAAUUUUCGUCAAUGGGCGCAAGCCUGAUGGAGCAACACCGCGUGAGUGAAGAAGGGUUUCGGCUCGUAAAGCUCUGUUGUUGGAGAAGAACAUGUGUGAGAGUAACUGUUCACGCCUUGACGGUAUCCAAUCAGAAAGUCACGGCUAACUACGUGCCAGCAGCCGCGGUAAUACGUAGGAGGCAAGCGUUAUCCGGAGUUAUUGGGCGUAAAGCGAGCGUAGGCGGGUUUUUAGGUCUGAUGUGAAAGCCUUCGGCUUAACCGGAGAAGUUAAUCGGAAACCGGACGACUUGAGUGCAGAAGAGGACAGUGGAACUCCAUGUGUAGCGGUGAAAUGCGUAGAUAUAUGGAAGAACACCAGUGGCGAAGGCGGCUGUCUGGUCUGCAACUGACGCUGAGGCUCGAAAGCAUGGGGAGCGAACAGGAUUAGAUACCCGGGUAGUC